rnacentral:rRNA from 1 species
ACUAUUGUCACGGGUUACCGCGGCUGCUGGCACGGAGUUAGCCGGUGCUUCUUCUGCGAGUAACGUCACAGAUGUAAGGUAUUAACUUACACCCUUUCCUCCUCGCUGAAAGUGCUUUACAACCCGAAGGCCUUCUUCACACACGCGGCAUGGCUGCAUCUACGGGUUUCCCCCUAUUGUGCAAUACUUCCCCACUGCUCGCCUCCCGUAGGAGUCUGGGCCGUGUCUCAGUCCCAGUGUGGCUGAUCAUCCUCUCAGACCAGCUAGGGAUCGUCGCCUAGGUGAGCCUUUACCUCACCUACUAGCUAACUCCCACCU